GGAAGGGUGGCCGAGUGGUUAAAGGCAGCAGACUGUAAAUCUGCCCGUCUCUGACGUACGCUGGUUCGAAUCCAGCCCCUUCCACCA
rnacentral:tRNA from 1 species